rnacentral:rRNA from 1 species
UACGAAGGGGGCUAGCGUUGCUCGGAAUCACUGGGCGUAAAGGGUGCGUAGGCGGGUUCUUAAGUCAGGGGUGAAAUCCUGGAGCUCAACUCCAGAACUGCCUUUGAUACUGAGAGUCUUGAGUUCGGGAGAGGUGAGUGGAACUGCGAGUGUAGAGGUGAAAUUCGUAGAUAUUCGCAAGAACACCAGUGGCGAAGGCGGCUCACUGGCCCGGUACUGACGCUGAGGAGCGAAAGCAUGGGGAGCGAACAGG